UCCGUAGGCGGUGCGGCAAGUCGGAAGUGAAAUCUCCGGGCUUAACUCGGAGGCUGCUUCCGAAACUGCCGUGCUCGAGUGCGAGAGAGGCAAGUGGAAUUGCGGGUGUAGCGGUGAAAUGCGUAGAUAUCCGCAGGAACAUCCGAGGCGAAAGCGGCUUGCUGGAUCGCAACUGACGCUGAGGGACGAAAGCUAGGGGAGCAAACAGGAUUAGACACCCUGGUAGUCCUAGCCCUAAACCAUCAGGACUUGGGGUUUGCCCUGUACGGGGCAAGUCCCGGAGCUAACGCGUUAAGUCCUGCGCCUGGGGAGUACGGUCGCAAGGCUGAA
rnacentral:rRNA from 1 species